CAGGGCUUGCUUGCCUGCUCUCUGGGGGUGAGCGGUCCCGGCAAAGCACUACGAGGGCGCCCCCUACCGCGAAGAGUGCGGCACUGCCGGCCUGCGAGCGCCAAACAGGAAACUUUAACCAGGAGGACUAGACAGUUCCAGAUACAUUCCAGGCCUCUCUGCCCACCCGGCCCCGACCCCCUGCCUGCUCAGCUGAGACGGCAGAGGCUGAGGCUGCACGGGAACUCCCAGGGUCACUGUCGGGGCAGCUCCAGGCUCUGCUCAAAGCCCGCCCACGGCUGACCCUCACUGGCUGCAUCCCCCGGAGUCCCGGCCCGCGCUGUCUGUCCCCAAGACCCCCACUGCCUGCCCGCGUCCAGUCUGGAGUGAACACACUACCCAGUAUCUUUAAUGUGUACCUACUGAGUGCUAGCCUGGAGACAAAGUAAUGACUGCAACCCAGGAAGAAGGCACUCGCGCCUCCAACCCCAGCCUGCUGCCUGGCCCAGAGUGGUUGUGAGAGCCUCCCGUCCCACCAGCACAGACCCUGUUACUGGAGAACCCCCAGCAUCUGAGGUCCAGGAGCCUCCAGUGGGGACAGCGAUGACAUCCAUACUGGCUGGUCGCCCCCGUUCCCAUGAGCUGCGAGAGUCCCAUCCUUCACCCACCUUGCAGGCACCAGGCCCAAGGCUGGCUGCAGAGCCACACCCUGCACAGGGCCAGAGGUGACAUCCCAUCAUUCCAUCGCCCGCCUCCCCAUCAGGUUUUCCCAAGAAGAUGGACUUGCCCUCCCCAGGUGUGAGCUGAGACUCACGUGCUGCUUUGGGGAGCACCUGGAGCCUCCACCAGGUCAGAUGCCCAGCAUGGGGCCCCGACUCUUCAGCUACCAACACCUCUGCCUCGGGGCUGUGCCCCUGGUUGCCUGGCUGGGGAUCAACAGGCCCUAGCUCCAGGGAACCCCAACUCCUGCACUCAGAUACCACCCCUGUCUCACCAAGGAAGUGGCUGGGUGGGUGAGACCCGUAAGGCACCAGGUGCUCGGACCUCGCAUGGCCACGCAUUUCAAGCUGUUAGAAGAAACUGGAAAUCUGUACCAUUACAUA